rnacentral:misc_RNA from 1 species
CAUUCGUGUGAGCUAUCUUACUGUUGCCUUUCAAGUGCUUGCGUGAUGUUACCCGACCUACGGGUAUUGGUGCUUCAUACACAGUUGCCUCGCGGUGGACGCCUUUGGGUGUGCUGCUGCGGCCAUAUGGCGCUUGCGGCGUUGCCUCUUGGUGCUGGCAUGUUUCGUGCCUGGUGCUAUCAAGGCAUCCUCGCUCCCGCUGUUGGUUUCGGAUGUUGCUCAUGAUAAAGGCUCGUGGCCCUUUUGGUUGCCUCGACCUGACCCUAAUAAUGCUCUCCGAAUUUGAGAACAACCGGAACAUGUGUUGCCUCUACCUCUCCACAGUUAGUGGUAGGAUUACGCAACAUACUGUGCCGAUCCUCAUACUAGUAGGACGAGCUAGGCCCGCUCAAUUGCGACAACUGGCCCGGCUGUUGCCUCUGCCCUGCCACGCAAGUGGACGGGUGGACGACUACCGACGCUGGA